rnacentral:lncRNA from 1 species
AUUCUGGUAUGUGACCAACCUUCAAAGAAAUAUAUUGAAUAUAACAAGUCACCUUCAUUGAUGACAACUAACCAAGCUAGGAUGUGUGAACUGAAGAGAGAUAAGACGCAAACUUCCAUGAGGAAAUUGCUGUUUGGUGGCAAGCAGAUCUGAGUUAUAAAAAGGACUUCUGAAACUCAUAAAGGGUAACUCCAAGCUAUUCAUCACAAGGACUGGAAAAGAACCUGCAUAACCUUUCCUUGGUGACUUCUUCUGGGGCCAAUGGUUGAUUCAGAGCUUCAAAUGGGAUGUGUUAUCUAAAAGAUUGGUGUGAACUGGGAGAAGUCAUGGUCCACAAGCCACAGGCUCUGUCUCAGCAUGGAUCAGUGGCUCUCAGAGACUGCCAGCUCAGUGCCUCCAGUGACAGUCAGGAACCGGGAAGAAUGAGUGUUACGGAGUACGGAGACGGAUGGACAAGUGCUGGUUCCACUGAAGAGCGGCUUCUGAUCAAUGAAGCAAAGAUUCCUGAAAGUCAACUAUUUUUCUGAUCCAGGCUCCCUACACCCACCCCAUGCCCUUCUCCCAUCCUGGCAAUGUUUAGUUGGGGCUCCUUCAGUGCCAAAUGGAGCUCUUUCCUGUAUUCGAAACUGCUAAGACUCUGGAAUUUUGAUAUAAUACAUUAAAACAUUUUCUCAGCC